GUGGGGAAUCUUCCGCAAUGGACGAAAGUCUGACGGAGCAACGCCGCGUGAGUGAUGAAGGUCUUCGGGUCGUAAAGCUCUGUCAUCAGGGACGAACGGCCGGUGGAGUGGAAAGCCACCGGAUUGACGGUACCUGAGAAGGAAGCCACGGCUAACUACGUGCCAGCAGCCGCGGUAAUACGUAGGUGGCAAGCGUUGUCCGGAAUUAUUGGGCGUAAAGCGCGCGCAGGUGGGAUCUUAAGUCCAUUUUGAAAGUUCGGAGCUCAACUCCGUGAUGGGAUGGAAACUGGGAUUCUUGAGUACCGGAGAGGAAAGCGGAAUUCCCCGUGUAGCGGUGAAAUGCGUAGAUAUGGGGAGGAACACCAGUGGCGAAGGCGGCUUUCUGGACGGUGUCUGACACUGAGGCGCGAAAGCCAGGGGAGCGAACGGGAUUAGAAACCCUGGUAGUCC
rnacentral:rRNA from 1 species